CUGUGGCACCAGGGUUGGGGCAGGAGGCAGUGGGAGGUGCUGCAGGCCCGGGGCUCUCUGUGGCCUGUGGAGAAACCAUGGUGGAGCCGGGGGAUGUGCUCUGAAGGAACGACAGCCCAUGGAGAGGAGCCCGCGCUUGAGCAGUCUGUGAGGAGCCAGCGUGGAGCAGGGCAUGAGUGUGGAGGAAGGAGAAGUAAAGAGGAGCUGUUAGGCACUGACCAUGGCCACCAUACCUUUCCCCUGUGCCACAUGGUGUGAAGGAGGAGGCAGAGGAGUUGGGAAUGGAGCAAAGUUGAUCCUGGGGUAAGGUUAGGUGGCAGGGGGAAAUGUUGCUUUAAUUUGUUUUGGUAUCUUACUAUCCAACUUUUUAUUUUUGAAUUGGCAAUAAAUUAAAUGAACUUUCCCCGGGUCAAGUCAGUUUUGCUCGUGAUGGUAACUGGUAAGUGAUCUCCCUGUCAUUAUCUCAACCCACGGGGCUUUUCUAUCCUAUUUUCUCUCUUUUCCCUUGAGGUUGGGGGGGGGAAGAGAGAGAGAGAGACAGCAGCUGGGUGGGCGUCUGGCAGCUGGCCAAGGUCAACCCACCACAAUCGCACAAUUUCGUGCCAUGUUUAAAAAGACUGUGUGCCUGGGCCUUUUACCAGCAGGAUUUGCUUUGCGUGGUAGAUCUGUUCAAGGAGACGCUGGUGUGUGAAAAUGUAGUUGGUAGCCUUAUUCGACCUUCAGGAGCAGCUCUGCAGCCCAUGUUUACUUCAGUCUGCUGUACUCUGCUGUGUGUGUCUUAAAGUUUCCCCGCAGUAGCAGAUUGCUUGGACACUUGCCCAUCUCUUUGUUUUGGGAGAAAUUUGCAGUGUGAGAUGAGAAGCUCAGAUCUGUCUGUCCUGCAUGCUGACGAUGGCUCGCGUAUAACUUUGCUGCCGGGUUUUGUGUGUGUGUGGAGCAGCCAAGCUUAAUUAAGGUCAUUGGUGCAUUUGUGUGAAGUGAGGUGCCAUUGUGCCCUGAUGGCCUGUGUGUUUGUGGGUGGCUCCACGUGGAUCAGUACGGACUGUAACACAACCUGCUAGCUUCAUUUCGUUGUAAUCCUUACGUAGAGCUGCUUGGACGUAAGGUAUACAGAAAUGCCCUGUCCUUAACCGCAUUUUAUGCAAUUUGGGUCGUUCUAUAGCUCAAGUGUAGUAUGAGUGGCAUGUGUAUCAUCACAUGCUUCCACUUCUUAGGUUUAUUUUGUUCAUACAGCUUCAUGGGAAGCUGCAACUCAGAAAUUUGAUGGUAAGUAUAAUUGUGUUGCCAGAGAUGCCCUAUGCACAGUCUCUUUUUUUUUUUUUUAACCUUCUUUUUUUAAAUUCUUUUGGCAGUUUAAGCUUUAUCUAGUUGUGAUCCAUGGCAUGUAACGACAGGGUUGUAAAUGAACAAGUUGUUAAAAACCUCAAAAAUAGAAAAAAAAAAUCUGUCUUGGGGGAAAAAAGAUAUUUCAAGGUUGGGGAUACUGUUUCCUUAUCUUCUCUUUCCUUUAAUUUCAGGCAUCUCUUGCAGGAUGAGCAAAUUGACCAGAAUUAUUACCUGACCAGAGGAGAGAAGAGUUCUUAAAGACAGCCUGCAAGGUUCUGAUGAUAUUAUGCCACUGGAAAUACGAAAAUUUACCCGACGUCCUAUGUUACCAGAACUGAACUUGGGGCAGACGACAAACUAAACAAACCUGUCAAUUUAGCCAAAUCAAACCUUGGAUGCUGGAGCUCAGCCUGUUCUGUGAAAACUAUAAAUCACCUCAUAAAAAGAUUAAUUCAUGUAGCUGUUUACGUAGCCAAUUUGUUCAGACAAGUUGCUCCGUGAAAAGCAGCAUUUGCCUGUGUGGCACACAGAUCUGCCCCUUAACGCGAACUGAUACAGGCUGUAACUUCAGCAAGAGGAGAACACUGCCUUUUACAUUUCUGUAAGUAUAUAAACACAUUUAUACAUGCUACACAGAUGCUUUUUCAUAUCUUAUGGGGUGCAUUAUGGAAUCUUCUGAUCUCCAUAGAAAAAAAUGACUAAAACCUUCUUUAUUCUGCCAAAUCUCCUAGAAGCCACAUCUGUCUGCAGUCACAUCGUUAUUUAUGCAAGAUAAGGAUGGAGCUGAAGCUACCUAGGUUACAGCACUCUAUGUGAAGACCAGUAUUCAGUGAGACCAAAAUUUUGCAACAAUGUGAAUUAUGAGCAGAAUGGCAAGAAGAGAUGUUAAUGCUAUCCAAGAGCUUCCUAACACAGGUUCAGAUGAAUUAAAAUGUUUUGUGGACUUUCAGACUACCCCUUUCAUGGUAUGGAAGAAUGGGAAGAUUCUUGCUGCCAUCUCUUCCCUUCCUUCCUACAAGCAAAUAAUGAGCAGCAGUGGUUGAUGUCUUUUGAAGUGAUGCUGAACUGUGACUAUAUCGAUGGGUAAUUUUUUUCCUUAUUCGUUCACUUUCAUGUAAGGCUCCAAAAUGCACAAGUGAGGGACAACACAGUGGCUUGUAUUUAUUUCAGCUGGUUGAUAGAGGGGGGUCGCUGCAGCAAAGGUCUCAAAUUGAAAACAAUGAGGUGAAGGAGUCUGAUUGUAUUUGGGAAGAUCAAUUAGUUUCCUGGAAUUACACUUGAGUAAAUUAAAGAUACCACUUUUCAUGCCAACUGGUUUAUUCACAUACUGUAGAGAGGCAUGGAAGUCUUCUCACAGGACACCAUACAGAGCGACUAUGAGCAUAAGUGUUUGAGGGAUGCAUUUGGACAUUAAGGUAGCUUGUUAUUUACAGCAUAUGUCCAUCCAUACACUACCUGUUCCUAUGAAUCCUUUCACCUCCAAGCUAAGAGGUUUCCCAUCUACCACAGGACAAGAACACAUACGCAAACAGAAGCGCUGCACACUGGAAGUUUGCCCCAAGUGAACUGUGCUGACUGGGUGCUUGUGCCCUGGAGACUUGUUAGGACCUGAAUCUGACAAGGAAUAUGUAAGUGCAAGGAACAGCCUUUUGUUGUUCCUUCCAUCCACUGAGGAUGCAUGAACUCUGAAAUCUUGCUUGUUAAUUCCUUUUUGACUACAUCAAACCCACUUUUCCAUGUCUUUUAGGUGAGUCACUAUCAGAUGAGUUCCUCUUUGCCAUCUACUGUUGCACUAUUCCUUCACUAGUCAAGUGGACUACAGAGUGAGCACCCUAGGAAGGGAAUGCGACAGUAACAGGCAAGUUAACAGCUUUUCACCUGUAUCCCUUCUAUGCAUAGGUGCUGUGUGUAGUUGCCAGAUAUUGGGGUAUUUCAGUGAGUA